rnacentral:sRNA from 1 species
AAGUAAGUAUAAAGAAUUGGCCUCAGUAUUGUGACGUUACUAUUGACAACACAAAUUGAAUAAUCAAAAGAUGAAAGAAUUUUUUGAUGAAUGCUUGUAAGUUUUAUGACGGAUCAUUUAAGUGUAUGUCACAACAUGAAGGCGUGAUUCAAAUAGAAACCAGUUGUUGGAAUACCUUGUGAACAAUAUUUUAAUUUAACCCCUGUGACAUAUGGAAAUAUAGGCAACCAAUUGGCAUAAAAUAAUUUCAAUUAAAAAUCUUUCCCAACUUGGUUUUGACCAUUGUGGUGUGGUCUUAAACAAAUUACACAUAACACAGCUUGAAGUUCAGUCGUUGUGACAUUAAGAAAUUUUUAGUAAAAAGUCCGCAUAGCAUUUCACGCACACGCAGUUAUUGCUCUUUUAUUGAAUUGACGUUUUUCAUUAAAAAAAA